GGAGAAUAGAUAAUAUUUGGAUCUCGAAGGAGCUGACACAGAACUUAGCUAAAUCUGAAAUACUCCCACAAACUAUAUCUGACCAUAAUCCGGUAUUUAUGGAGAUAAAGGGUAAAGAUACUAGAGUAUUUAGAUGGAGAAUGAAUGAAGGUAUAUUUAAUAAUCAAAAGAUAGUAAGGGAGGCGAAAGAAACAAUCGAAGAAUACUUCAAGUGGAACUUACACAAAGAAACAGCUAUAGAAACGGUCUGGGAUGCAGGAAAAGCCGUUAUGAGGGGCUUCCUAAUUCAGAAAAACAGCCAUUUAAGAAAAGAAAAAGAGAAAAAAGAGAAGAGAUUCUAACACAGCUUAUGGAGAAUGAAAGACAACUAGCUACUAAACCAGGUGACGAGACAAUAAAGCAAAAUUUAAAAAUAUUACAAGCCCAAUUUUCUAUGAUAGUUAACCAGGAAAUUGAGUGGAAAAUUAAAAUGAUGAAACAAAAGAACUUUGAAUCAGCUAAUAAAAUAGGAAAAUUCUUGGCGUGGCAAAUAAGAGAAAGGAAAAAACAAAAUACGAUCUGCAAGAUAAGGGAUGGAGAAAGGAUAGUGGAAGAGCCAAAAGAAAUAAAAAGGAUAUUUCAGACGUAUUAUAAGGAAUUGUAUAAAAGAGGAAAGGAAAUAGAUUAUGAAAUAGACCGAUACCUGGAAGAUCACCAUUUACAACAGAUUGCCAUAGAAGAGAAAGAGUUAUUAGACCAGAGGAUUACAGAAGAUGAGAUAAGGAAGGC